AGCGAACGCUGGCGGCAGGCCUAACACAUGCAAGUCGAGCGCCCCGCAAGGGGAGCGGCAGACGGGAGAGUAACACGUGGGAACGUGCCCUUUGGUUCGGAACAACCCAGGGAAACUUGGGCUAAUACCGGAUAAGCCCUCACGGGGAAAGAUUUAUCGCCGAAGGAUCGGCCCGCAUCUGAUUAGCUAGUUGGUGGGGUAACGGCCCACCAAGGCGACGAUCAGUAGCUGGUCUGAGAGGAUGAUCAGCCUCACUGGGACUGAGACACGGCCCAGACUCCUACGGGAGGCAGCAGUGGGGAAUAUUGGACAAUGGGCGCAAGCCUGAUCCAGCCAUGCCGCGUGGGUGAUGAAGGCCCUAGGGUUGUAAAGCCCUUUCGGCGGGGAAGAUAAUGACGGUACCCGCAGAAGAAGCCCCGGCUAACUUCGUGCCAGCAGCCGCCGUAAAAC
rnacentral:rRNA from 1 species